AACGCUAGCUACAGGCUUAACACAUGCAAGUCGAGGGGCAGCACAAGGUAGCAAUACUGAGGUGGCGACCGGCGCACGGGUGCGUAACGCGUAUCCAACCUUCCCGAUACUCUUGGAUAGCCUUCCGAAAGGGAGAUUAAUACAGGAUGGUAUUCCACUUNCGCAUGUUAUUUAAACUAAAGAUUUAUCGGUAUCGGAUGGGGAUGCGUGACAUUAGAUAGUAGGCGGGGUAACGGCCCACCUAGUCUACGAUGUCUAGGGGUUCUGAGAGGAAGGUCCCCCACACUGGAACUGAGACACGGUCCAGACUCCUACGGGAGGCAGCAGUGAGGAAUAUUUGGUCAAUGGUCGGAAGACUGAACCAGCCAAGUAGCGUGAAGGAUGAAGGUUCUAUGGAUUGUAAACUUCUUUUAUACGGGAAUAAAGCCCACUACGUGUAGUGGUUUGUAUGUACCGUAUGAAUAAGCAUCGGCUAACUCCGUGCCAGCAGCCGCGGUAAUACGGAGGAUGCGAGCGUUAUCCGGAUUUAUUGGGUUUAAAGGGAGCGUAGACGGGAGAUUAAGUCAGUUGUGAAAGGCUGCGGCUCAACCGCAGCACUGCAGUUGAUACUGGUGUCCUUGAGUGCGGUUGAGGUAUGUGGAAUUCGUGGUGUAGCGGUGAAAUGCUUAGAUAUCACGAAGAACUCCGAUUGCGAAGGCAGCACACUAAGCCGCUACUGACGUUGAGGCUCGAAAGUGUGGGUAUCAAACAGGAUUAGAUACCCUGGUAGUCCACACGGUAAACGAUGAAUACUCGCUGUUGGCGAUACAAUGUCAGCGGCCAAGCGAAAGCAUUAAGUAUUCCACCUGGGGAGUACGCCGGCAACGGUGAAACUCAAAGGAAUUGACGGGGGCCCGCACAAGCGGAGGAACAUGUGGUUUAAUUCGAUGAUACGCGAGGAACCUUACCCGGGCUUAAAUUGCAGAGGACAGGCGCAGAGAUGUGCUCUUCUUCGGACCUCUGUGAAGGUGCUGCAUGGUUGUCGUCAGCUCGUGCCGUGAGGUGUCGGCUUAAGUGC
rnacentral:rRNA from 1 species